GGAAAGUCGGCGGUGGACGGGCACCUUGUUGACCAGGUCAGGUCCGGAAGGAAGCAGCCACAGUAAGUUUCGUCCGGGUCAUUGUCCGGCUUUCCACC
rfam:Acetobacter indonesiensis 5H-1 DNA, contig: Abin_060.